rnacentral:tRNA from 2 species
GCCUGGCUAGCUCAGUCGGUACAGCAUGAGACUCUUAAUCUCAGGGUUGUGGGUUCAAGCCCCACAUUGGGUA